AUAGAUAUUUAUGUGUGUCAUGACACUAUUCUAGAAGAUGUGGGUCCCACUUAAGGUCAAAUUAGUCAAUCUUUAAGUCAAGUGGGUGAGUAUUUUAAUGCACAUGGGGAAUCUGAUGGUUCUUUAACUGCACAACCAAAAAAAACCAGAUCUAGGGUUAGGUUCCUCUUCUACCUUUCCAUCUAGUGAAAGAGGUAAGAAUGAUGGGGUUGCAGGUGUCCAACAAGAAACUGAUGAUGGUUAUUCUUCAAUAGAUUAGACUGAUACUGAAAAAAAAAGUUGAACCUUCUGUCCAACAAGGAACUGAACCUUCUAUUCAAGAAGAAGUUGAACCAAGUGCCCAAGAAAAUGUAGAGGAAGAUAUAGACAAUGAUUUCAUUUGUUUUGACCAAUCUAUUGACUAUGAAAGUGAUGUGCAUGAGGGGUUGAGGAUUGUUAAGGAAGAUGUGAGAAAGUUUUAGAGAAAGUAGAAGGAGAAAGAAGAAGGAAAAAACAAAAGCUUUUUUUAGGUGAAGUUGGACUUGAUGAAGGGUAUGAAGAUAUUGAAAAAGGCAAAAAAAAAUUCAAGAGUAAGCUAACAGAGGAUGAACCAUACUAUGACAGUUCUGAUUGUGAUAGUUUUCAAAGUGAUGAAGAACAACAUGUUUGUGAUAAUGACUUGAAUGAGGGAGAUUAAGGGGGAGAAAGAAGAGUAAUAGAGUGAUUUAUGAUUCUACUUGUGAUGUUGUAAUAUAGCAGUGUGGUUGUGUAUUUAAAAGUGUAAAGGAAUUUAGAGAGGCAGUUACAAAAUAUGCUACAAAAAAGGAGUUGAGUUAGCCUAGUAUGUGAAUUAGAGUACUAGAGUAAGAGUCAAGUGUAAAAAUGGUUGUCCAUGGCUGUUGUAUGCAAGCAAGGAAGAGAGGAGUGAAAACUUCACUAUCAAGACAUACAACCCAAGGCAUAGAUGUACCAGGACUAGCAAUAAUUUUUUAUGUAAUUCAAAGUUUUAUGUAAGUAUCUAAAAGAUAGGAUUAUUUCUCAACCUAGUAUGAAAGGGUAGGGAAGAGUUGAAUGUUCAUGUAGGCAAGGCAGUUUGUUUAAAAAAAGAAAAAUUGUUUUAAAGGAAAUUAUGGGGGUUCAUGUGGCAGAAUUUAAAAGAAUCCUAGACAACAGGGAUGUGUUACUCCAAACAAAUCCUGGUAGCACUUGUGUUGUGAAGCUUACAGAUUCAGAUCAGAAAAUGGGAUGAAACAGUUUCACUCUUUUUAUAUAUGUUUUGAUGCUAUGUAAAAGGGUUUCUAACAAGGAUGCAGAAGAUGUAUAGGGCUGGAUGGGUGUUUUCUAAAAGGAAUUUGUAACGGUCAACUUUUGAUAGAUGUUGCUAAAAAUGCAAACAACCAAAUGUAUCCAAUAACAUGGGCAGUAAUGGGUAUUGAAAGCAAGUUGACAUGGAAAUGAUUCAUGACCAUUCUGCAAGAUGAUCUUAAUCUAAGAGAUGGUUCCCAGAUCACUAUCAUUAGUGAUAUGCAAAAGGACUAAUAGCUGCUGCAGAUGAAUUAUUUCCAGAAUGUGUGCUAGACACAUAUUAGAAAAUUGGUCACAAAACUGCAGGGGCAUAGAGAAAAGGAAGAAGGGGCAUACAAGCAUACUAUGAUCAUGGGAAUUAAAAGGUAUUCCAUGUGUACAUGGUAUAGCAGCAAUGAACCACUUGAACAUGGAUGCAUCACAGGCAAUUUCAAGCUGGUAUAGAAAAGAGACAUAUCUGAAGGCAUAUUCUCAUUUCAUUCAACUAGUCCCUAACAUGGAAAUGUGGCCUCAAAGCAGAAACCCAAUAGUUAAACCACCUGAGGCAAGAAAAAUGUUGGGUAGGCCACCAAAGAACAGAAGAAGAGAAAUUGGUGAAGUGAGAAAAGCUGGAAAGUUGUCGAGAAUGGGGACAGUAAUGACAUAUUCAAUUUGCAGAGGAGCGAAUCAUAAUAAGAGAAAUUGUCCAAAAAUCCUAAACCUAAGUCUACACCAACACCCACUUAAGAGUCCUCCACUGGGAAAAAUAGGGGUAGAGGUCAAUAUGAAAGAGCAAGCAGCAGCAACACUGGUACAAGAAGAGGUGCAGUAAGUGAUUACAAGAAGAGGCCAAGAGUUGUGGGACAAGGUGUAUUUGUUGCUGAUAGUGGAUAUACAUGUAUUAAUCAAGAAUUGGCUAGCAGUAUGAGGGUUAAUAUUGGUGUGCAGAGUUCUGCGCAUGUGACAGGUAAUAUUGGUUUUAAACCUACCUAGUGACUGAAGUGGAAAGGCAAACAGACCAUGACUCAAAGAGAACUUCAAGUCCAAAGUUUAUGCAUCGUAUUCAAACUAGAUCAAAAGUUGUUGGAAUUCAAACAAGGGCACAAGCCAAGGGAAAAUCUCCCUCAAAGAAAACUUCUUAGUUAAUGUGUAUUGGUGCUUUGGUGGUUGUGUGAUUGUAACAACCAAACUUAAAUUAGUGGUUGUUUUGUGUUUUGGUGCUUGUGUGGUUGUUCAACUAAACUUAAAGUAGUGAUUAUUUUGUGUUUUGGUGGUUAACUUAAGUGAUUGUGGUUGUUGGUUGAAACAAUGAAACACUAUGAUGUUUGUGUUUAAUGAUCAAGAAAGCACUAGCUAUG